rnacentral:rRNA from 1 species
UACAGAGGUGGCAAGCGUUGUUCGGAAUUACUGGGCGUAAAGCGCACGUAGGCGGCUCUUUAAGUCGGGGGUGAAAUCCUGGAGCUCAACUCCAGAACUGCCUUCGAUACUGUAGAGCUUGAGUUCGGGAGAGGUGAGUGGAACUGCGAGUGUAGAGGUGAAAUUCGUAGAUAUUCGCAAGAACACCAGUGGCGAAGGCGGCUCACUGGCCCGAUACUGACGCUGAGGUGCGGAAGCGUGGGGAGCAAACAGG